UACGUAGGUGGCAAGCGUUGUCCGAAUUUACUGGGCGUAAAGAGCGCGCAGGCGGUCGUUCAAGUCGCGUGUGAAAGCCCCCGGCUCAACUGGGGAGGGUCACGCGAUACUGAUCGACUCGAAGGCAGGAGAGGGAAGUGGAAUUCCCGGUGUAGUGGUGAAAUGCGUAGAUAUCGGGAGGAACACCAGUGGCGAAGGCGACUUCCUGGCCUGUUCUUGACGCUGAGGCGCGAAAGCUAGGGGAGCAAACGGG
rnacentral:rRNA from 1 species